rnacentral:misc_RNA from 1 species
GAUGAGAACGUAGCGAAAUGCGAUAAGUAGUGUGAAUUGCAGAAUUCAGUGAAUCAUCGAAUCUUUGAACGCACAUUGCGCCCCUUGGUAUUCCAUGGGGCAUGCCUGUUCGAGCGUCAUUUGUACCUUCAAGCUUUGCUUGGUGUUGGGUGUUUGUCCAUUCACUUGCAGAGGGACUCGCCUUAAAGUAAUUGGCAGCCAGUGUUUUGGUUUUGAAGCGCAGCACAAGUCGCGAUUCAAAGCUAUACGCCCGCUUCCACAAGCCUUUUUCACUUUUGACCUCGGAUCAGGUAGGGAUACCCGCUGAACUUAAGCAUAUCAAUAAGCGGAGGA